AUGAAGGGGUCUGUCCCAAUGUCUGGGACUGGGGGGCAGAAGGGCCUUGCUGCUGCCCUGCGCCAUGUGCCCAGACCUGUCUGCAGCUGGUGCUGCCCCGGCCCCAUUGUGCGCUGGGUGGUGCAGGCAGGAUGCAGCCCUGAGCACGGGCUCAGAUUUCCACAGAGGGGCCGAGCCUGGGCGGGCAGGGGCUUAAAAGGGAGUUGGGGUCUGCAGAACAGCCCCGUCACCGUGGAGACACGGAGCUGGUGGGAUUGCACCUUGGCCUGGGCCCCUCUUCUCGCCGUGGUGCUCGUCCACAGCUCAGGUUCCCUGGUCCACGCAGCGGUGACUCAGCCGCCCUUGGUGUCAGCAAACCUGGGACAAACCGUCCAGAUCACCUGCUCUGGGAUUAGCAGCAGCAGCAGCUACAGCAACAAUGCUGGCUGGUACCAGCAGAAGGUUCCUGGCACUGCCCCUGUCACUGUGAUCUAUGCUGACACCAACAGACCCUCGGGCAUCCCUUCGCGAUUCUCCGGCUCCAAAUCCGGCUCCACGGCCACGUUAACCAUCACUGGGGUCCAAGCCGAGGACGAGGCUGUCUAUUACUGUGGUGGCAUCGACAGCAGCAGCUGUGGUGUCUGGGGACAAUGA